AUCGAUGAAGAACGCAGCGAAAUGCGAUAAGUAAUGUGAAUUGCAGAAUUCAGUGAAUCAUCGAAUCUUUGAACGCACAUUGCGCCCCUUGGUAUUCCGGGGGGCAUGCCUGUUCGAGCGUCAUUUCAACCCUCCAGCCUCGCUGGGUCUUGGGCUCUGCCAGCAAUGGCUUGCCUUAAAAUCAGUGGCGGUGCCGACGAGCUCUACGCGUAGUAAUAAACCCCUCGCGUCUGAGUCUCGGCGGUUACUUGCCAGCAACCCCCAAUUUUUCUGGUUGACCUCGGAUCAGGUAGGGAUACCCGCUGAACUUAAGCAUAUCAAUAAGCGGAGGAAAAGAAACCAACAGGGAUUACCUCAGUAACGGCGAGUGAAGCGGUAACAGCUCAAAUUUGAAAUCUGGCUCUUUCAGGGUCCGAGUUGUAAUUUGUAGAAGAUGCUUCGGGUGUGGCUCCGGUCUAAGUUCCUUGGAACAGGACGUCAUAGAGGGUGAGAAUCCCGUAUGUGACUGGCUGCCUCCGCCCAUGUGAAGCUCUUUCGACGAGUCGAGUUGUUUGGGAAUGCAGCUCAAAAUGGGUGGUAAAUUUCAUCUAAAGCUAAAUAUUGGCCAGAGACCGAUAGCGCACAAGUAGAGUGAUCGAAAGAUGAAAAGCACUUUGGAAAGAGAGUUAAACAGUACGUGAAAUUGUUGAAAGGGAAGCGCUUGCAAUCAGACUUGCGCGUUGCCGAUCAUCUGGGGUUCUCUCCAGUGCACUCGGUAGCGCUCAGGCCAGCAUCGGUUUGGGUGGUGGGAUAAAGGCCUUGGGAAUGUAGCUUCUUUCGGGGAGUGUUAUAGCCCUCGGUGCAAUGCCGCCUAUCCGGACCGAGGACCGCGCUUCGGCUAGGAUGCUGGCGUAAUGGUUGUAAGCGACCCGUCUUGAAACACGGA
rnacentral:rRNA from 1 species